UUCAACUGUCUCUAUCUUUCUUGUCUAGAUUAGAGCUGUGUCUGUUAUUGUAGUUAAAGACACUAAGGGAUCAAACAAGCUGUGCUAUACAUACUAGCUAGAGCCAAAAGAUGCAGCUAAGAGAAUCCAUUCGGAAGAGCCACAAGACUCUCCAACAUCUCAAGUCUCUCUUCUUUGUAGGGUAUCAAAAACUGCCCAAGCCCUUCUCGUGUGCCACCAGCAGCAAAAAGAAUCACCAAACAGAUCAAUUCUACACUGACUUUUGCAACGAGUGGGAGUGUGAUCUAGAAAAGGCAAUGAAGAAGAAGAAGAAUGGUAUCACGCUAUCAAAAGAACUGGCAAGAGAAGAAGAUGGAUGUAAUGGAAGUUCCUUGGAGCGUCCAAGGAAUCCAUUGAAGAAGAAAGAAGUGGGAAUAAAGGAAGAGAAGAGCAAGAAAAGUUCAACUCUAAGAAAAGAAUACUCAAACAAGAAGGAUAAAGGAGGUUAUGCACUAGCAAAAAAGAUGAAGGAAUUGGAAAUGAUGGGUGGAAGUGAUAUGGAACAUGUGUUGGAUGUAGAAGAAGCACUUCACUAUUACUCUCGUCUUAAAAGUCCGGUAUAUCUUGACAUUGUUGACAACUUCUUCACUGAUAUGUACAAAGAAUUCUCUGUUCCACAGAGGUCUGCAAGCAUCAACAGUUCAAAGCAAAGACUUCGUUCAAUUAGGCUAUAGAUGGAUACUCAAGUUUGUGAGUUCUUCCUUGUGCACAUGCAUAUGUUUCCACUUUCUAAUUGUUCCUUUCAAUAUUACAUUUGAGUAUAUCUUAUUUUGCAUCGUUGAUUUGAUAUUCAGCUUUCUGGAUUGCUAUUCUUGAUACUGUCAGUUACUGAGAGAUGAAUGUAAGUUUUAGAAAGUAGGAAUUGAAAACUUUCCUUGCCUUAAAGGGCUGUUUAUUAAAAUGUCUAGCAGAUUAUCUUCUUAAAUAGAUGCAAUAAAUGUAGUCACAAGAUUUAUAGGAUUUAAAAUUCAUUUUUCGUAUGACAUAAGGGUGCUAGCCACUAGAUG
rnacentral:misc_RNA from 1 species